GAGAGUUAAACAGUACGUGAAAUUGUUGAAAGGGAAACGAUUGAGGCCAGUCAUGCCUGCGAGAAAUCAAUUAGUCGUUUGGGUUCUUGAAUCUUUUUGGCUGGUGCACUUUUUCGCGUGGCAGGUUAGCAUCAACUUUGAUGGUUGUAAAAUGGUGGUCGGAAGGUGACUCUUUUUUGAGUGUUAUAGCCGGCUGCAGAUGCAACGAUCGGGGUUGAGGUUUGCGGCAAAUGCCUUUGGGCUACUUACCUUCCUUCUGAUCUGUUCACUUUGAAAUGACAGCUUGCUGACAUUUUAGGGGGCGUUCAAUCAAUAGGGUAGAGUAGGAUAAAUUUGCCAAGGAUGCUGACGUAAUGACCUUAAACGA
rnacentral:rRNA from 1 species